UGCAUCGAUGGUGUUCAAGAGAUGCGGCGUUAAUGUAUCGACCCAUCAUGCAUUGUUCCACAUUUCAAGUUCCUACGACCGGGACUUCCAGAGCGGGUGUAAGACCCAUAGAGAUGAGGAACCAGUGUAUGCUGAGCGAUGCAUUCUAGAGUCAGGUUGCUUGAGAGUGCAGCUUAAAGUCGGUGGUAAACUCCAUCCAAGACUAAAUACUACAGCGAGACCGAUAGCAAACAAGUACCGUGAGGGAAAGUUGCAAAGCACUUUGAAGAGAGAGUUCAAAAGUACGUGAAACCACUGGGAGGCAAACAGAUGGAACCACGAAGUGUGCGCCUCGGUCGAUUCAAUCAUCACUUUUGAUCAGUUGUAGUUAAUCAGGAUCUUUUCGGAGGUUGAUUUUCUACAAUUAUGAUUAAAGGUGUUGGUGCAUUUCGUGCCGAGGAUGCAAAGCCACGUUCAACUAGAGUUGGGACGGCUGUAAGAAAGAAUCCGAGAAAGGUGACCGUCAAGUGCUUGCAUUUGACGGCGUUAUAGUCUCGGGUUGGCACCGUCUUCUAACAUACUGGUUGAUGGAAAUUCUCCAUUUGGAGUUGAACCAUAUCUGCCUGUGAUUGUUAGUCGAUGUUGCGUAAUGUUCUUUGCGUAUCUUUCGAUGCGAAAAGACUUUGCAAAAAUGUCGGUUAAUGGUUGCUUGCGUGAUAUGGUGGAACUGUGGCGUGAGUAGGUCGGUCUCCAUCUGACCCGUCUUGAAACACGGACCAAGGAGCCUAUCAUAUACGCGAGUCGCUCGGUCUUGUUUAGGCCUGGGAGGCGUAAUGAAAGUAAAGUUACGAGGCUUCGGCUGCAGUAACGGCUCGCCCACUUUGUUUAUUGGCAAUAUGGCGAAGCUGGAGCGUAUACGAUGGUACCCGAAAGAUGGUGAACUAUGCCUGGGCAAGACGAAGCCAGAGGAAACUCUGGUGGAGGUCUGUAGCGAUUCUGACGUGCAAAUCGAUCGUCAGACCUGGGUAUAGGGGCGAAAGACUAAUCGAACCAUCUAGUAGCUGGUUCCCUCCGAAGUUUCCCUCAGGAUAGCAGGCAUUUAUUUUUUGCUGUGCAGUCUCAUCCGGUAAAGCUAAUGAUUAGAGGUCUUGGGGUUGAAACGACCUCAACCUAUUCUCAAACUUUAAAUGGGUGAGAUGGUUGACUUUCUUGAUUGAAGCCAACCAUUUGGAUGCAAAUGCCUAGUGGGCCAUUUUUGGUAAGCAGAACUGGCGCUGUGGGAUGAACCAAACGUCGAGAUAAGGCAUCAAAUGCGUACGCUCAUCAGACCCCAGGAA
rnacentral:rRNA from 1 species